GACCCCCGCGGGCUGGGCGUCCACUUAACUUGGAGUCCGAACUCUCACUUUCUAACCCUGUGCACUUGUUUGGGAUAGUAACUCUCGCAAGAGAGCGAACUCCUAUUCACUUAUAAACACAAAGUCUAUGAAUGUAUUAAAUUUUAUAACAAAAUAAAACUUUCAACAACGGAUCUCUUGGCUCUCGCAUCGAUGAAGAACGCAGCGAAAUGCGAUAAGUAAUGUGAAUUGCAGAAUUCAGUGAAUCAUCGAAUCUUUGAACGCACCUUGCGCUCCAUGGUAUUCCGUGGAGCAUGCCUGUUUGAGUGUCAUGAAUACUUCAACCCUCCUCUUUCUUAAUGAUUGAAGAGGUGUUUGGUUUCUGAGCGCUGCUGGCCUUUACGGUCUAGCUCGUUCGUAAUGCAUUAGCAUCCGCAAUCGAACUUCGGAUUGACUUGGCGUAAUAGACUAUUCGCUGAGGAAUUCUAGUCUUCGGAUUAGAGCCGGGUUGGGUUAAAGGAAGCUUCUAAUCAGAAUGUCUACAUCUUAAGAUUAGAUCUCAAAUCAGGUAGGACUACCCGCUGAACUUAAGCAUAUCAAUAAGCGGAGGAA
rnacentral:rRNA from 1 species